ACGUAGGAGGCAAGCGUUGUCCGGAUUUACUGGGUGUAAAGGGUCCGCAGGCGGGCAUCUAAGUCGGUGGUGAAAUCCUUCAGCUUAACUGGAGAACUGCCUCUGAUACUGGAUGGCUUGAAGACGGGAGAGGGAGACGGAAUUCCAGGUGUAGCGGUGAAAUGCUUAGAUAUCUGGAAGAACACCGGUGGCGAAGGCGGUUUCCGGGACCGUUCUUGACGCUCAGGGACGAAAGCGUGGGGAGCAAACAG
rnacentral:rRNA from 1 species